rnacentral:rRNA from 1 species
UACGUAGGGGGCUAGCGUUGUCCGGAUUUAUUGGGCGUAAAGAGCGCGUAGGCGGCCCGUUAAGUCGGAUGUGAAAACCCGUGGCUCAACCACGGGCCUGCAUCCGAUACUGGCGGGCUCGAGGCAGGCAGGGGAGAUCGGAAUUCCUGGUGUAGCGGUGAAAUGCGUAGAUAUCGCUUGGAACGCCGAAGGUGAAAACAGGCUGCUGGGGUUGCGCCGACGCUGAGACACGAAAGCCAGGGGAGCAAACGGG